rnacentral:rRNA from 1 species
UACGUAGGGUGCAAGCGUUUAAUCGGAAUUACUGGGCGUAAAGCGUGCGCAGGCGGUUUUGUAAGUCUGACGUGAAAUCCCCGGGCUUAACCUGGGAAUUGCGUUGGAGACUGCAAGGCUAGAAUCUGGCAGAGGGGGGGUAGAAUUCCACGUGUAGCAGUGAAAUGCGUAGAGAUGUGGAGGAACACCGAUGGCGAAGGCAGCCCCCUGGGUCAAGAUUGACGCUCAUGCACGAA